ACCUGGAGAGCAGUGGGGUGAGGUUCUGAAUGUGCACCUGGAGAGCAGUGGGGUGAGGUUCUGAAUGUGCACCUGGAGAGCAGUGGGGUGAGGUGAGCGCACUCUGCUUUGGUUUCUUUUACAGAAACAUUUGAGCUUAAAUACUUUACCUGAGAGCGCAGCAGCAGUCCCCUGUCCCCCCACCCAUUAUCUGGCUCUAUGAGUGUAUUCAGCUGUAACUGACCCCCUCUAACUGCCCCUCACUGUGCCUGAGUGUGUAACUGACCCCCUCUAACUGCCCCUCACUGUGCCUGAGUGUGUAACUGACCCCCUCUAACUGCCCCUCACUGUGCCUGAGUGUGUAACUGACCCCCUCUAACUGCCCCUCACUGUGCCUGAGUGUGUAACUGACCCCCUCUAACUGCCCCUCACUGUGCCUGAGUGUGUAACUGACCCCCUCUAACUGCCCCUCACUGUGCCUGAGUGUAUUUGGCAGUGACAGACUCCCUCUGGCCGCCCCUCACCAUGUCCAGCUUGCCCUUGUGCUCCACCAGGCUGGACGUGGCGUAGGCUGUCAUCACGCACGCGGCCAGGGACAGGUAGGUGUUGACCACAGCGGUGAACUGGUCCUCUUUACUCCCCGCGAUGCCCGAGUUGAAACUGGGCCAGAACAUCCAGAGGAACACGGUUCCUGAGAAACCAAGCACAGCACACCAUUACUGAACACGCCAUCACUCAACACAUCGGCACUCAACACGCCACCACUCAACACAUCUGCACUCAACAUGCUGUCACUCAACACGCUAUAACUCAACAUGCCGUCACUCAACACGCCGUCACUCAACACAUCGGCACUCAACACGCUGUCACUCAACACGCC